CGGAGGAAAAGAAACUAACAAGGAUUCCCCCAGUAACGGCGAGUGAAGCGGAAGAGCUCAAGCUUAAAAUCUCCAUGUUUUACAUGGCGAAUUGUAGUCUAUUGAGGCUGUUGUCAGCAUAGCGAUUUGGGAUAAGUCCCUUGGAAAAGGGCAGCAUAGAGGGUGAUACUCCCGUCUUUGCUCAGAUUGUCUAUGUGUACGAUACGCUUUCUUUGAGUCGAGUUGUUUGGGAAUACAGCUCAAAGUAGGUGGUAAAUUCCAUCUAAAGCUAAAUAUUGGUGCGAGACCGAUAGCGAACAAGUACCGUGAGGGAAAGAUGAAAAGAGCUUUGAAAAGAGAGUUAAAGAGUACCUGAACUGUUGAAAGGGAACCGUAACAUGUCCAGUGUUGUAUCUUGUGCAUAUUUCAUUAGUGGAGCAAUUUACUGGUGCCCUGUGCAUGAGUGUGACGUCAAAGUCAGUUUGUAUGCUGCGGGAGAUGGUUAGCAAGGAGGUGCGUCACUUUUGUGUCAGUUAUACCUUGUUAUCUAGUAGCCGUGGUUGAGACUGAGGUGCCUACAACAUGCUUAUAGAGUAUAUUGUUGUCUCGUUAUUAUAUCUGUUUGGAUAGCUUGCUAUGCUGAUGGACUAUAGUGGCGAUUGAUGAUGGUAUUAACUUUUUGCUGUUCGGGACUUUGACG
rnacentral:rRNA from 1 species